rnacentral:lncRNA from 13 species
UAUGAGUUCAACUUUUUUGGAUUCCACCUAUAAGUGAGAUCAUGAGGUAGUUUUAUUUUGGUACCUGGUUAUUUCACUUAGCAUAAUGUUCUUCAGGUUCAUCCAUGUUAUUGCAAAUGGCAGGAGAUCCCCUCCUUUUUUUUUUUUUUUUUUUUUUUUUUUUUGAGACGGAGUUUCGCUCUUGUUACCCAGGCUGGAGGCUGGCAGGCUGGAGUGCAAUGGCGCGAUCCCGGCUCACCGCAACCUCCGCCUCCUGGGUUCAGGCAAUUCUCCUGCCUCAGCCUCCUGAGAAGCUGGGAUUACAGGCACGCGCCACCAUGCCCAGCUAAUUUUUUGUAUUUUUAGUAGAGAUGGGGUUUCACCAUGUUGACCAGGAUGGUCUCGAUCUCUUGACCUCGUGAUCCACCUGUCUCGGCCUCCCAAAGUGCUGGGAUUACAGGCUUGAGCCACCGCGCCCGGCCGGGUAUUUUAUUGUAUAAGCCAAUAGCAAACAAAUAGUUUCCAAAGACUCCUUUCCUCUGUCCACAUCAUCUCCUAAGAAAAGGUAGUUGCCUUCUGGUGGGAAACCUCCAUAUUCAAAUAAUCUCAGUAAAUCUGUAUACUGUCCAUGAAUAUCUCCACACAUUUUCAGUGGUGCUUCCAAUUCCAAAAGAAUAGGCUGGCUGAGAACGAUAUCCCGAGACUUGAUAGAUAAACCCCGAACUUCUGCUUCAGUCAUCUGCACAAUCUUUCCUGGUCGACAUCCUCCUACCUCCAGCAGCCGGGUGAUGAGGCUGUCCACGUUCAACUCCCCGUCCGCCAUCUUGUCGGCACAGACUCUGCUUCCCGGCAGCGGGAACGGGCUUCUCGGCGGCGGAGGCUUCGGUGACUGCUCGGCGUUCUCUCACCAGCGCCGCUGACGGCACCACCCGCAGCGCCACUCACUGCGCACUGCCCUUGCCCGCCGCCGCGCCACGCAGUUCUCCCAAAAAUUGAGAUCUUAAAGCUAAAGAGAUAAAAUAUUAUUUUAUAAUAUACAGUGAUAAUUGACUGACAAUUAGGAAAUAGUAACUUAGAUUCCAGAUUUUACCGCAUAAGUCAAAAUAAAUUCUAGAUGUAUUUAAAUUGUAAGACA